AAAAAAAUAUUCUUAUUAUUCUCGACCUGAUCUCAAAUUCGACCGGCCUCUCUCUCUCUCAAAACUCCCGCUCAAAUCCAACCCUUUCUCUCAAAGCUCUCUCGCCCAAAUCCUAAUAAACCCAUCAGCUCUUUCAUUUCAUAAAAGGAGCUUGGUAUGCCGAUAACGCUGGCUGAGUCUUUCAAGGCUACACACACAAUGAAGAAAAAAAUCCUGGAGAUCCUAAUGUUUGUGUUGAGCCACGAGGUCAACUGACCUAUGAUCGAUUUUUGCUAUCCAUAUAGAAGUUUCGUCGGACUCUGCCAGACGAUAAUCAAGACCUGUCACUUAGUCAAGAGCAGAAUAAGAGAAUAUGGUUAGAUGCGGUUAGUGGUCCUAGUAGGUAUGGGUAUGCUUAGAAGGCCUCGGUAAUUUUCAGGAUGGAGUCAAGAGAGACGAUUUUGACUUUGAAGCAGUAGAUAGCUGAGCUAUCUAAUGAAGAUAAGGCCUUGUAGACUAGGGAAAGGCAAAGGGAUGUACAAUAUGCGGGAAUGAAGGCCUAAUUCGUUGCAUUACUUGCUUCAGGAGGGGGGGUCCUCCUUGUCCUCUCGUUGAUGUCGUUCGCCCUCUCCGACCUCCUCAGUCUCAACCUAUUUCAAAUGGAGUAUAUGGUCAAUACUGAGAUUCGACUGAUGAGUCUAGCAGUGAUGAAGAUGAUGAGGAUUAUAAUGUGGAUAAUGCACCAUCGCAUUGUUAAAGUUGAGUGCUGUGUUAGAUAAUUUAAACUAUGUACUUUAUGAUGAUUUAUUUGAAUUAUUAAUUGUGUUUGAAUGCAUUAGAACUUUGAAGUAGUCCAAUCAAUAGUAUUGUAUAAAUAAUUUGUCUUUUAUGUUUUUUUCA